rnacentral:rRNA from 1 species
UAGAGUUUGAUCCUGGCUCAGAACGAACGUUAGCGGCGCGCCUAACACAUGCAAGUCGAACGAGAAAGGGCUUCGGCCCCGGUAAAGUGGCGCACGGGUGAGUAACACGUGGGUAAUCUGCCCUCGAGCAGGGGAUAACAUUCCGAAAGGAGUGCUAAUACCGCAUAAGACCACGACUUCGAAAGAAGACGGGGUAAAAGCUGGCCUCUAUACAUAAGCUAGCACUUGAGGAUGAGCCCGCGGCGCAUCAGCUAGUUGGUGAGGUAAUGGCUCACCAAGGCGAAGACGCGUAGCUGGUCUGAGAGGAUGAUCAGCCACACUGGAACUGAGACACGGUCCAGACUCCUACGGGAGGCAGCAGUGGGGAAUCUUGCGCAAUGGGCGAAAGCCUGACGCAGCGACGCCGCGUGAGUGAUGAAGGCCUUCGGGUUGUAAAGCUCUGUGGGGAGAGACGAAUAAGUGCAGCCUAAUACGUUGCAUGAUGACGGUAUCUCCUUAGCAAGCACCGGCUAACUCUGUGCCAGCAGCCCCGGUCA